UACAGAGGGUGCGAGCGUUGUCCGGAAUCACUGGGCGUAAAGGGCGCGUAGGUGGUGGCUUAAGCGUGCGGUGAAAGCUCGGGGCUCAACUCCGAGUCGGCCGUGCGAACUGGGCUCACUGGAGCAUAGUAGAGGCAGGUGGAAUUCCGGGUGUAGCGGUGGAAUGCGUAGAUAUCUGGAGGAACAUCAGUGGCGAAGGCGACACCCUGGACUCAUACUGACACUGAGGUGCGAAAGCGUGGGGAGCAAACAGG
rnacentral:rRNA from 1 species